UACGAAGGGGGCUAGCGUUGCUCGGAAUUACUGGGCGUAAAGCGCACGUAGGCGGCUUUCUAAGUCGGGGGUGAAAUCCUGGAGCUCAACUCCAGAACUGCCUUCGAUACUGGAAAGCUCGAGUCCGGGAGAGGUGAGUGGAACUGCGAGUGUAGAGGUGGAAUUCGUAGAUAUUAGGAAGAACACCAGUGGCGAAGGCGGCUCACUGGUCCGGUACUGACGCUGAGGUGCGAAAGCGUGGGGAGCAAACAGG
rnacentral:rRNA from 1 species